rnacentral:rRNA from 2 species
AAUUGAUUUUAUGCUUGCAUAAAUGAUUUUUGGAUUCGGAGCGAGUGGCGAACUGGUGAGUAACACGUGGGUAACCUGCCCCGAAGCGGGGGAUAACAUUUGGAAACAAGUGCUAAUACCGCAUAAUUAGUUGGAACCGCAUGGUUCCAACUUGAAAGAUGGCUCUGCUAUCACUUUGGGAUGGACCCGCGCCGUAUUAGUUAGUUGGUGAGAUAAAAGCCCACCAAGACGAUGAUACGUAGCCGACCUGAGAGGGUAAUCGGCCACAUUGGGACUGAGACACGGCCCAGACUCCUACGGGAGGCAGCAGUAGGGAAUCUUCCACAAUGGACGAAAGUCUGAUGGAGCAACGCCGCGUGAGUGAUGAAGGUUUUCGGAUCGUAAAACUCUGUUGUUAAAGAAGAACAAGUGUUAGAGUAACUGUUAACACUUUGACGGUAUUUAACCAGAAAGCCACGGCUAACUACGUGCCAGCAGCCGCGGUAAUACGUAGGUGGCAAGCGUUGUCCGGAUUUAUUGGGCGUAAAGCGAGCGCAGGCGGUUUUGUAAGUCUGCUGUGAAAGCCCUCAGCUCAACUGAGGAAGUGCAGUGGAAACUACAAAACUUGAGUACAGAAGAGGAAAGUGGAACUCCAUGUGUAGCGGUGAAAUGCGUAGAUAUAUGGAAGAACACCAGUGGCGAAGGCGGCUUUCUGGUCUGUUACUGACGCUGAGGCUCGAAAGCAUGGGUAGCGAACAGGAUUAGAUACC